rnacentral:rRNA from 1 species
AACGAACGCUGGCGGCAUGCCUAACACAUGCAAGUCGAACGAUUGCCUUCGGGUGAUAGUGGCGCACGGGUGCGUAACGCGUGGGAAUCUGCCCUUAGGUUCGGAAUAACAGCUGGAAACGGCUGCUAAUACCGGAUGAUAUCGCGAGAUCAAAGAUUUAUCGCCUGAGGAUGAGCCCGCGUUGGAUUAGGUAGUUGGUGGGGUAAAGGCCUACCAAGCCGACGAUCCAUAGCUGGUCUGAGAGGAUGAUCAGCCACACUGGGACUGAGACACGGCCCAGACUCCUCCGGGAGGCAGCAGUGGGGAAUAUUGGACCAUGGGCGCAAGCAUGAUCCAGCAAUGCCGCGUGAGUGAUGAAGGCCCUAGGGUUGUAAAGCUCUUUUACCCGGGAAGAUAAUGACUGUACCGGGAGAAUAAGCCCCGGCUAACUCCGUG